AUGAAUUUGACACUGGACUGUUAUGUUGUCAUGAAAACUGUUUUGUGGUAAUUAUUGGGAAUGUUUACUGUAUGAAUGGAUGAAGUUUAAAUCAUUGACUACAUCUGUGUUUACCUUUCUCAAAAAGAGGUGGAAGAACAUCCCUGAGGUACACGGGAAGUUCCCACUGCUCUGUUCUUUUUCCUAUUGGGGUACAGAUGUAAUGGAGUAAUGUAUAUAAGUAUGUAUCUAUAUCAAACUACAAAUUGUUUUGUGAAUGCUAUUUUGAUUGUAAAACUGUACUGUACUUUCACUGUUGCCUUUUAAUCUCUAAAUAGAACUGGGAUUCCUGGAAGUGCUGGCAGAGAGCUAACAAAUGAGCAAUCAGGAAUCUUUAACCAAAGGGAACCAUCCUAGGACAAUGUGCUAGUUGCAGCCCAAAGAACUGCUAACUUCUGCUUGACUGAAGCUCUGGUCUUGGGGCCUGAUUCAAAGCCUACUGAUUCAACUGGAAGACUCCUAUUGUCUUCAUUGAGUUUUGGAUCAAGACAUAAAGCACCUCCAAAUUGGUUGACUUCAUUUAAUCAAUAGGUAUGCCGUUGAGUUUAUUGUGAGAUGCGGAGAGAAGAUGGAGGAAAGAGAUGAGGGGAGGAAACUAAAGCACUUGGAAUCUAAUACUCAGUUUUUUCACUUCUUAAAAAUGGGCAGUUUCAAAUUAUUUUAUGAACAUGACUGUGAAACCUGUGAAAUGACCUCUGUCCUCAGGCCCUUUUGCAAAAUGCACUGACAUUGAAAGAAGUCUUCCAGAGGAAAAAUGUUUUGCACCAUUUAUAAAAUGUGUUUAGAUUUCUGAAGAAAUUUCACAAAGCAAAAGCCAACUUUAGACGAGCUCAUUAAUUCCAAUCCCUGUUCGCUAGCAGCUAAGUUAAAAGCUGGAAUGCAGGCACAUAGCAUAGCAGUAUCAAUUAUAAUAGUAAGAUGACUAAUGAGAUCAGUGAUAUUUGAAUGAUACUGAGGCUGAAAAUUACACCUUUCCUGCAGAGUAAAGGUUGAAGGAGAUCCUUGCAUUCAGUCUAUAAUUUCUCCUAUACAGGGAAUAUGUGGCUGUUAGACCUUCUAUUGAUUUUUUUUUCUUUUUUCUUUGACAAUCCAGCAAGAGUUCCCCACUCCCACAGCUGCUGUGUGUGGCUUAUCUCUGUGUAGCUUUAUAAUGGCUUUUUCCUCUGAUAUGUUGUUCUAAUCUGUACCUUUUUGAUAAGUAAGAUGCCAGGUUUGCAAGAUUUAAAUGUUACUGUAACACAAUAGUAUGAUGCAUUAUCCUUUUGGCUGGUGUCAACAUGAUGUCUUGUGCAAGGAAAACCAGAACUCUGCCCUCAGAUGUAGAAGUGUGAAAAGUUGCACCUGAGUCUAUGAGGGACAGAUAUAUUGUGCCCAUCAUUUUGAAUGUAAGAAUGUUUUCUUCUGUUAGGCUCCAAUUCUGAAAAAAACAUUUUUCUGUGUUCUUAAAAUCAUCCCUAGUCAGCAAAGACUUAAGAAAUAUUGUAUUGUUGUAAGUUUUGUGCUCUGGGUUCUUUGGAAGUGUAAGGAAGAUGUUGCAAACAGCAAGAUCAUUUGCUUUCUGCCUUAAUCUCCCUAGGAAGAGUCAGUUAUUGGGCUAGAGUAUAUUCUGGGAACUGGGGGCUGGUGUGUGAGUUAAGAUUUCUGAGAAAGGGGAUUUGCCUGUAUGCUGUUUGACCACUGUUCAAGGACUGGUAUAUAAAAUGUAAAUAAACAAAAU